rnacentral:tRNA from 1 species
GCGGGUGUAGCUCAGAUGGUAGAGCAUCAGCCUUCCAAGCUGAGGGUCGCGGGUUCGAAUCCCGUCGCCCGCU